AACGAGUUGUUUAAUUGUGUUAGGUUAGAGUUGAGCUGGUUAAUCUAAUUAAUAUGUGCUUACUCUAAUCGAAACAAGUCCACUCAUUACUUAACCACUUGUGAACUUAUUCAUUACAAAACAUUAUUAUUUGUUAUUGGAAACGUUUUGAUUAUUAAAAAGUUAUAAUA
rnacentral:misc_RNA from 1 species